rnacentral:tRNA from 1 species
CUGGCUGGCUCAGUCUAUAUAGCAUGCAACUGUUGAUCAUGAGUUCAAGCCCCACGUUGGAUG